UACGGAGGAUGCGAGCGUUGUCCGGAUUUAUUGGGUUUAAAGGGUGCGUAGGCGGGAUGCCAAGUCAGCGGUAAAAAUGCGGUGCUCAACGCCGUCGAGCCGUUGAAACUGGCGUUCUUGAGUGGGCGAGAAGUAUGCGGAAUGCGUGGUGUAGCGGUGAAAUGCAUAGAUAUCACGCAGAACUCCGAUUGCGAAGGCAGCAUACCGGCGCCCUACUGACGCUGAGGCACGAAAGCGUGGGUAUCGAACAGG
rnacentral:rRNA from 1 species